UCAGUGAAUCGGGUUGAAUCGAACUGUUCAAAAUGAACCAAAAUCAAAAACCCCAAAUGAUGACAUAAGUAUUUAAGACAAUAAAUGUAAAGCAGGACAUUGAAAGCUCUCAAAUCUUAGAAUGUAACGUUCAGUGUUAAGUUUUUGAGUUACACAAAUGUAUUUAAAACAUGACAACAUAAAGGAGGAGCCUUUUAAUGACGGGAACUGCCUGUUGCUGCUGUUGCAGAAACCACGGUGGUCAUUCUUGUCUCUGGAAGUUUGGCGUUGAUCGUGUGUGCUGUGAUUCCUCUCAUAUUCUACAGACACUGGCAGACGAAUGCAGAUCACAGCAGAUUGACAGGAAACACUGAUGAGGGUUCUCACUAUGAAGACUGCCCAGAUGACUCCAUACAUGCUACAGUGGGGCUGCAGUCUUUACAAGAAGUUCUACCAGAGUCCAGCGGGGACGACAACCACCAGUAUGCUACCGUCUAUGAAGGACUGGAUCCUAAAUCCCUGGACUGAGCAGAGAGUUUUUACACCUCCAGAUCCAUCAGUUCAAUAAAGGAUCACUGUUUAAAAACCA